CUGAUGAACUUAAUGUGUUGUAUUUAAUUUAUUAUAAUAUUUCAUUUCAGCUGUUCUCUUUUCUGUUAUUUGGAUGACCUACUGACAAAUAUGCUGGCCUCACUAAGCUGAGCCCCUUGAAGGUAGAGAUAGUUGUGCUCAAAGAAACAAACACAGCUUUGUCUCUUUGCUCCUCACACAGGGCCUAACCUAGAGUAGGUGCUCGGCAAACACUUCAGGGACAGUGAAAGAUGGAACACUAUUUGCCGUGUGAAGAAAGAAGGAUUCAAACGCUGGCCAAGGAAGCAGAAUGAUUCCAACGUGGCUGCAGCUUGCACCCUCUUCUGAAUCCCUGUGGAUAGUCUGAUGGCUUUGGCCAGCUUCAUUCACGACGAAGCUAAAGCAAGAAAAAUUAUUCUCCCACCCUUCACCAGCAAGAUUCUCUGCCUUCUCAGCAUUUCACACAGCCAGGAAUGGGAACCUCCUGGAGAGUGGAGUUGCCCCUCCAUCAGGCAGACCUCCGAGCGGAAUCCCCUGCCUCCUCUUCAUCUUCCUGUCCCCAUGCAAGUGACACAUGCCACAGAAGGUGACCUGGAAAAUGCCUUGUGUACUGUGGGGUGAUGGGAAGUGGGGCAGGCUUGGGCCAGGUGCUGUCUGUCACCUCUGCACCUGUCAUGGACAUCUUCCUCUCUCACGCCGGGGUCUCAGCAUGGCCCGGAGGUGUUGGCAUCUCAGGGAGGAGGACUGCAGUGGCCGACAGGGAGACAUAUGUGCCUGUCCCCACCAUGGCUUCUGCCCUCUGGGCUGGGAUGGAUGGUGACCCCCAGUUGAUGUGUUGACUGUGCUUGGAGCUGGGUACAUGGCGGCUGCUAGGCGCCUUCACUCUAUCCUGGAACAGCAAGGAAAAGUGCCUCGUGAAGUUUGGAAGAAGUAAAGGGAACCUAAGCAUGUUGCAGGGCUGCUGUAUCUCACAAAAAGCAAAUCGUCAGCAUCAAGAGGACAACAGACCAGGCCCUGCGAUGGCCCCUCCCCUGUGCUCCAGGCCGCAGAAGGCCACGGUGUGACUUCGCAUUGUUUUGAAGCUGGACAGGCAGAUAUUUUGAGCCCUAAAGAGGC
rnacentral:lncRNA from 13 species